GGGGGGUUUUGGGGGUUUUGGGGUGGCCCAGCACGACGUGGGCGAGCUGCAGCGGCGCUACGGCGAGUGAGAGCCGGGGCGAAAAAGGGCGGAUUCGGGCAAAGAGGGGAAAAAAAAACCGGGGGGGGUUUGGGGAAUAAAUGGUGGAAAAGUGGCGGGUUUUGGUGGUUUUUGGGGGGGUUUGAAGGGGUUGAGAAGAGCGGGAGAGCUCCAGGAGAUGCCGAGAGAAUUGGGAGAAAAUCCGGGAAUUUUGGGGAAAAAACAAAAUCCGGGAAUUUUGGGGAAAAAACGUGGAAAUUUGGGAAAAAAGAGUCAAAAAAAUGGAGUUUACGUGGAAAAAGUGGUGGGUUUUUUGGGGGAGUUUUGGGGGUUUUUGGGGGGUUUUGGGGGGGUUUGAAGGGGUUAAGAGAGCGGGAGAGGUCCGAGGGGUUUCUGGGUAAAAUCCGGGAGUUUUGGGAAAACUGAGUGAAAAAAAAGUGGAAUUUUGGGG